AACGAACGCUGGCGGCAGGCCUAACACAUGCAAGUCGAGCGGACCUUUCGGGGUCAGCGGCGGACGGGUGAGUAACGCGUGGGAAUAUGCCCUUCUCUACAGAAUAGUCCUGGGAAACUGGGGGUAAUACCGUAUACGCCCUUUGGGGGAAAGAUUUAUCGGGGAAGGAUUAGCCCGCGUUGGAUUAGGUAGUUGGUGGGGUAAUGGCCUACCAAGCCGACGAUCCAUAGCUGGUUUGAGAGGAUGAUCAGCCACACUGGGACUGAGACACGGCCCAGACUCCUACGGGAGGCAGCAGUGGGGAAUCUUAGACAAUGGGGGCAACCCUGAUCUAGCCAUGCCGCGUGAGUGAUGAAGGCCUUAGGGUUGUAAAGCUCUUUCAGCUGGGAAGAUAAUGACGGUACCAGCAGAAGAAGCCCCGGCUAACUCCGUG
rnacentral:rRNA from 1 species